CCUUGUGGUCUGGUGGUUAAGAUGCUGCACUUCCAAUGCAGGGGGCACGAGUUUGAUCCCUGGUCAGGG
rnacentral:tRNA from 1 species